UACGUAGGUGGCAAGCGUUGUCCGGAUUUACUGGGCGUAAAGAGCGCGCAGGCGGUCGUUCAAGUCGCGUGUGAAAGCCCCCGGCUCAACUGGGGAGGGUCAUUCGAUACUGAUCGACUCGAAGGCAGGAGAGGGUAGUGGAAUUCCCGGUGUAGUGGUGAAAUUCGUAGAUAUCGAGAGGAACACCGGUGGCGAAGGCGGCCUUCUGGACAGUGACUGACGCUGAGACGCGAAAGCGUGGGGAGCAAACAGG
rnacentral:rRNA from 1 species